rnacentral:lncRNA from 1 species
AGGUCUAUGAUUUUAGUGCAGACAAGGUUGACAUUGAAACUAAAACUGAAAGCGAAGAAGAUUUGUGUUCUUUCCAAUUUCUGACCUGAAACUGUUGAGGAUGCUAGCUAAUGAAGGUCCUGCAGUGUUGUGUUCCUUGCAAUCUCUGACCUGAAACUAUUGAGGAAGCUAGCAAAUGAAGGCGUUACAGUGUUGGGGUUGCCUUGACUAGUCUUUGUUUUUUUUUUUUUUUGGAUUUGUGAUUUUUGGUUGGUGUAAGAAUG